rnacentral:rRNA from 1 species
GACGAACGCUGGCGGCGUGCUUAACACAUGCAAGUCGUACGGUAAGGCCCUUUCGGGGGUACACGAGUGGCGAACGGGUGAGUAACACGUGAGUAACCUGCCCACAACUUUGGGAUAACGCUAGGAAACUGGUGCUAAUACUGGAUAUGUGCUCCUGCUGCAUGGUGGGGGUUGGAAAGCUCCGGCGGUUGUGGAUGGACUCGCGGCCUAUCAGCUUGUUGGUGGGGUAGUGGCCUACCAAGGCGGCGACGGGUAGCCGGCCUGAGAGGGUGACCGGCCACAUUGGGACUGAGAUACGGCCCAGACUCCUAAGGGAGGCAGCAGUGGGGAAUAUUGCACAAUGGGCGCAAGCCUGAUGCAGCAACGCCGCGUGCGGGAUGACGGCCUUCGGGUUGUAAACCGCUUUCAGCAGGGACGAAGCUUUUUGUGACGGUACCUGCAGAAGAAGCACCGGCUAACUACGUG